rnacentral:rRNA from 1 species
GACGAACGCUGGCGGCGUGCCUAAUACAUGCAAGUAGAACGCUGAAGAGAGGAGCUUGCUCUUCUUGGAUGAGUUGCGAACGGGUGAGUAACGCGUAGGUAACCUGCCUUGUAGCGGGGGAUAACUAUUGGAAACGAUAGCUAAUACCGCAUAACAAUGGAUGACACAUGUCAUUUAUUUGAAAGGGGCAAUUGCUCCACUACAAGAUGGACCUGCGUUGUAUUAGCUAGUAGGUGAGGUAAUGGCUCACCUAGGCGACGAUACAUAGCCGACCUGAGAGGGUGAUCGGCCACACUGGGACUGAGACACGGCCCAGACUCCUACGGGAGGCAGCAGUAGGGAAUCUUCGGCAAUGGGGGCAACCCUGACCGAGCAACGCCGCGUGAGUGAAGAAGGUUUUCGGAUCGUAAAGCUCUGUUGUAAGUCAAGAACGGGUGUGAGAGUGGAAAGUUCAUACUGUGACGGUAGCUUACCAGAAAGGGACGGCUAACUACGUG